rnacentral:lncRNA from 1 species
UAAGAUUAUAUUUACUUGAAAAGGAUCACAUUCCUAUUACUCAUUGAUUGAAAUAUUAUCCAAACUAAACCUUACCCAUUAUAAUGUUUUUGUUAAGACCCUUUGUGAAGAGUCUUUCCUUGAAGUGCUUGUUUAUGCAGGGUAACAUCACUGCUACUCUGAGUAUACUGAGUUUUGGUUAUUAUAGGGGUGAGUGCAACUGAUGAAGUUCCUGUGCAGUUAAAGCUAUGGGAUGAAAUGGAGUGUUAUUAGGUUUACCAAUCCAUGCACUAAUUACAGUACAUACAGCUCUCUCAAAGGAUAGUAAUUGCUGGUUAGUUGAUUAGAGGCUAGUGGAAAGUGAAUCGCGUUUAAAGUGUAAAGAAGUGGCUGGCAAUGAGCAUGUUUGGACUACUGACGAUUUAAAGCUAACAAAUACAAAAAGUUAUUAUUUUUACAAUAAAUUUUGUACAAUU